rnacentral:lncRNA from 1 species
AAGCUUAGUUGGAUCGAAAUGGACACCGAGAUGGAGAUGCUUCUGGCUAGAUUUCGCAGAACCCCAGGAGACCUGCAUUUAGACCACUCUGUCCAUUUGUGUGCCCACCCCCACCCCCAGGGUCUAAGUGUAGACUCCAAGAGGAGCAGCCCAGAGCUUGGAGGAGAGGUGUGUCUGGGGCACCACUGGUGGGUGGUGCUGCUCUUCUUUUUGUUGUAGUUAAUGCGGUGUCUUUUAAUGGACUCUCAGGCCUCCCAGACAGCCUUGUUCCUUUAAGGCAGAAGCUCUUCUUCAUUGUGUACCUCCUGGGAUUCAUGAGGUGUGAGAUUUGGCCUGCUUGACUUUGAAUUCAAGUUUUUCAAGUGACUCUCAGUGUCAGAAGAAGCAUUUCAUGCUGUCCACAUGUGGUAUGUCCACAGCUCACCUUCAAAGGCUUAGAUGUAGCCAUCACAGAGAGUGGUAUUUUAUUAAGAACCCAAGUCCCAGCCUGACCAACAUGGUGAAACCCCAUCUCUACUAAAAAUACAAAAAUUAGCCGGGCGUGGUGGCACGCGCCUAUACUCCCAGCUACUUAGGAGGCUGAGGCAGGAGAAUCACUUGAACCCGGGAGGCAGAGGUUGCAGUGAGCCAAGAUCACACCACUGCACUCUAGCCUGGGCGACAGUGAGACUCCACCUCAAAAAAAAAAAAAAAAAAAAAAAAAAAAAAGUCACGCUGGGCCCCUCUCUACAGGGGGACACACAGGCUUAGUUUAGUAUAUGUCUAACCAGAUUUUGCAUGUCAAGCAUUUGUCCUUUUCCUGGCUUAUGUUUUCUUGUAGAAAUUAUAUAAACCCUAUCAAAUCCACUACUAGGUAAAUUUUUAAACCAUGCAGCUUUAUUACUCUCCUCCCCCAAAGAAUGUAGUUUGAAAUUUUCUCAUUUCCAUAGUAGAGGCCCUAACUGCCAUUGUAUUACUAAUAAUGCAACAUGAAAUUGAAGGUGCCUAACUGCUCAAAAAACAAAAUCAGCCAUCAUACUGUAACUCUGAGAGGAAUGAGAGGUGGCACAGGCACGAGUGGGCUCAGCCCGUGUGAGUGAGGAGAACUGAGGAAUCCUAGGGUGCGCAUCCUGCAUCCUGGCUGCACGUUUGCUGCAGAGUAUGUUUUUCUUUCUUGCCUCCCUUCAGUUUUCUUCAGUUGCGUUCAGUGUAUCUUCUGGAACCAAUAGUGCCCUGUGUUCUCAAGUCUCUAAAAUGCUAAGAUCUGAGCAAAGUCAAGCAGCUUACACUAGGCUUUUUUACAGCUGUGCUUGAGAACAUUUCCGAGUGGACCAGGGCCUUGAGGAGCCUGUUUUUCAGCAAAUUCAACAGAUGUGUGCAGUGAUUCCCUCCGUUUUGUAUUUGACACCUUCAUUUAAAAUGCUAAGAUGCAAUAUCAUUCACUUCAAAGUGGGGAAAAUGCAGAAUUGUGUUUCCUUUUUAUCUGUGUGAUUCCUUAAGAAACAUGUUUUUAAAAUAUGUGUUCUAAAUGGUUUUUUAUUCUGUAUUACUGCUUUGGCCAUGUGGCUCUCAUGACUUUCAUUGUACCAGAUUCUCAGCUCCCUGAAACAUGGGGACGAGAAGCUCUGGAAUUACAGCAAGAUUUUUGUUCCAUGAGCGCAAUACUGUAUCAUUAACAUUUUUAAUGGUAUGGAUUUUAUAGCAUCUGUGUAUGUUUGCAAAUAUUAAGUUAUUACAUGUUUUAAAAUGAGCGUUUUUCAUCUUAAAUUUUAUAUGUUUGCAAAUAUAUUUUUUUAAUAAAAUUUCAAAACCAAGUUUUAGCACCUA